AGAGAAAUUCAUAAAAUUUCAAAGAAUCAAGUGACAAAAGGUGGUGAAUCCUCUGAUAAGGGCAAAGAAAUUGUACCCGAGGAUUGAUAGUCGAAGUACUCUAAAAAUUCGACUCCCGAAAUACUUGCUGCAGUGGGCGGGUUCUGUGGACCAACCUAUUAGAGAGGCACGAAAUUCGGUUAUAUUAGUACCUCGAUCAGAAAAGCGCGUAGGGUAUCUCUUGAGGUAUGGUUAGAGUUCACGUCACGCCAAACCACCUCGUGAUGAUGAACUCCGCUAACGCUAAGGAAUGGCUGUGUUUUUCAAACUAAAAAUAUGUUUACGUGUAUAAGAAAUUUUUAACGACCUUGGCUGACUUGGUUAGAUACCUCGGCCAAGGUAUUCCCGAGAAUGAUUUUGGCAGGAGCCAAGCUUUUCAGAUACUUAUAA